GAUGAAGAACGCAGCGAAAGGCGAUAAGUAAUGUGAAUUGCAGAAUUCAGUGAAUCAUCGAAUCUUUGAACGCACAUUGCGCCCUCUGGUAUUCCGGGGGGCAUGCCUGUUCGAGCGUCAUUAUAACCACUCAAGCUCUCGCUUGGUAUUGGAGUUCGCGAUCUCGCGGCUCCUAAAAUCAGUGGCGGUGCCUGUCGGCUCUACGCGUAGUAAUACUCCUCGCGAUUGAGUCCGGUAGGUUUACUUGCCAGCAACCCCCAAUUUUUACAGGUUGACCUCGGAUCAGGUAGGGAUACCCGCUGAACUUAAGCAUAUCAAUAAGCGGAGGA
rnacentral:misc_RNA from 1 species